CCUACGGGAGGCAGCAGUAGGGAAUCUUCCGCAAUGGACGAAAGUCUGACGGAGCAACGCCGCGUGAACGAUGAAGGCCUUCGGGUCGUAAAGUUCUGUUGUUAGGGAAGAACAAGUGCUAGUUAAAUAAGCUGGCACCUUGACGGUACCUAACCAGAAAGCCACGGCUAACUACGUGCCAGCAGCCGCGGUAAUACGUAGGUGGCAAGCGUUGUCCGGAAUUAUUGGGCGUAAAGCGCGCGCAGGCGGUUUCUUAAGUCUGAUGUGAAAGCCCCCGGCUCAACCGGGGAGGGUCAUUGGAAACUGGGAAACUUGAGUGCAGAAGAGGAAAGUGGAAUUCCAAGUGUAGCGGUGAAAUGCGUAGAGAUUUGGAGGAACACCAGUGGCGAAGGCGACUUUCUGGUCUGUAACUGACGCUGAGGCGCGAAAGCGUGGGGAGCAAACAGGAUUAGAUACCCUGGUAGUCCACGCUGUAAACGAUGAGUGCUAAGUGUUAGAGGGUUUCCGCCCUUUAGUGCUGAAGUUAACGCAUUAAGCACUCCGCCUGGGGAUACGGUCGCAAGACUGAAACUUAAUGAAUUGACGG
rnacentral:rRNA from 1 species